rnacentral:misc_RNA from 1 species
AACUGAUACUACCUGCGGGAACCUGCGGAAGGAUCAUUACAGAGUUUUCUAAACUCCCAAACCUUUGUGAACUUACCACUGUUGCCUCGGCGGAAGCUAUUGGGGUUACCCUGUAGCGACCGCCGGUGGACCAACCCAACUCUUGUAAUUUUGAGAAAUCUGAGAGUCUUAUACAAAUAAGUCAAAACUUUCAGCAAUGGAUCUCU